GAUGGGCUCGCGUCCGAUUAGAUAGUUGGUGAGGUAACGGCUCACCAAGUCUACGAUCGGUAGCCGGACUGAGAGGUUGGACGGCCACAUUGGGACUGAGACACGGCCCAAACUCCUACGGGAGGCAGCAGUGAGGGAUAUUGCACAAUGGGCGAAAGCCUGAUGCAGCGACGCCGCGUGAGGGAUGACGGUCUUCGGAUUGUAAACCUCUGUCCUUGGUGAAGAAGAAAGUGACGGUAGCCAAGGAGGAAGCCACGGCUAACUACGUGCCAGCAGCCGCGGUAAUACGUAGGUGGCAAGCGUUGUCCGGAAUUACUGGGUGUAAAGGGAGCGUAGGCGGGCUUGCAAGUCAGCUGUGAAAUUCAAGGGCUUAACCCUUGACAUGCAGUUGAAACUACAGGUCUUGAGUGAAGUAGAGGUAGGCGGAAUUCCGAGUGUAGCGGUAAAAUGCGUAGAWAUUCGGAGGAACACCGGUGGCGAAGGCGGCCUACUGGGCUUUUACUGACGCUGAGGCUCGAAAGUGUGGGGAGCAAACAGGAUUAGAUACCCUGGUAGUCCACACCGUAAACGAUGAUUGCUAGGUGUGGGGGGUCUGACCCCCUCCGUGCCGCAGUUAACGCAAUAAGCAAUCCACCUGGGGAGUACGGCCGCAAGGYURAAACUCAAAGGAAUUGACGG
rnacentral:rRNA from 1 species